AUACGUAGGUGGCAAGCGUUGUCCGGAUUUAUUGGGCGUAAAGCGAGCGCAGGCGGUUUUUUAAGUCUGAUGUGAAAGCCUUCGGCUUAACCGGAGAAGUGCAUCGGAAGCUGGGAGACUUGAGUGCAGAAGAGGACAGUGGAACUCCAUGUGUAGCGGUGAAAUGCGUAGAUAUAUGGAAGAACACCAGUGGCGAAGGCGGCCGUCUGGUCUGUAACUGACGCUGAGGCUCGAAAGUAUGGGUAGC
rnacentral:rRNA from 1 species